AAAGUGAGCGUGGCUCAGUGGAAAGAGCCGGCCGGAGCCGUAGGUGGUUUUCCCAGGGUGAGGCUCCGCCAUUGCACUUGGGCUGUGCUGACCCUGCGAUUUCCCAAAUGCGGGAAACUCGACUGCAUAAUGGUGGUAGUGGGGGACUGCGUUCGCGCCCUCCCCUG
rnacentral:snRNA from 1 species